rnacentral:rRNA from 1 species
AUUGAACGCUGGCGGCAUGCUUUACACAUGCAAGUCGAACGGCAGCACGGACUUCGGUCUGGUGGCGAGUGGCGAACGGGUGAGUAAUACAUCGGAACGUGCCCAGUUGUGGGGGAUAACUACUCGAAAGAGUAGCUAAUACCGCAUGAGAACUGAGGUUGAAAGCAGGGGAUCGUAAGACCUUGCGCAACUGGAGCGGCCGAUGGCAGAUUAGGUAGUUGGUGGGAUAAAAGCUUACCAAGCCGACGAUCUGUAGCUGGUCUGAGAGGACGACCAGCCACACUGGGACUGAGACACGGCCCAGACUCCUACGGGAGGCAGCAGUGGGGAAUUUUGGACAAUGGGCGAAAGCCUGAUCCAGCAAUGCCGCGUGCAGGAUGAAGGCCUUCGGGUUGUAAACUGCUUUUGUACGGAACGAAAAGCUUCGGGUUAAUACCCUGGAGUCAUGACGGUACCGUAAGAAUAAGCACCGGCUAACUACGUGCCAGCCGCCGCGGUAACAC